rnacentral:hammerhead_ribozyme from 1 species
AUCCAGCUGACGAGUCUCGAAUAGGACGAAACGCGCGUCAAACUGGAU